GACGGGGGAUGCAAGCGUUAUCCGGAAUCACUGGGCGUAAAGCGUCUGCAGGUGGUUUCCUAAGUCCACUGUUAAACCUUGAGGCUCAACCUCAAAUCUGCAUUGGAAACUAGGAGACUUGAGUAUAGUAGGGGUAGAGGGAAUUUCCAGUGGAGCGGUGAAAUGCGUAGAUAUUGGAAAGAACACCGAUGGCGAAGGCACUCUACUGGGCUAUUACUGACACUCAGAGACGAAAGCUAGGGGAGCAAAUGGG
rnacentral:rRNA from 1 species